UACACUCCUGCGGGAGGCAGCAGUGGGGAAUAUUGGCCAAUGGGCGCAAGCCUGAUCCAGCCAUGCCGCGUGAGUGAUGAAGGCCCUAGGGUUGUAAAGCUCUUUCACCGGUGAAGAUAAUGACGGUAACCGGAGAAGAAGCCCCGGCUAACUUCGUGCCAGCAGCCGCGGUAAUACGAAGGGGGCUAGCGUUGUUCGGAUUUACUGGGCGUAAAGCGCACGUAGGCGGACUAUUAAGUCAGGGGUGAAAUCCCGGGGCUCAACCCCGGAACUGCCUUUGAUACUGGUAGUCUUGAGUUCGAGAGAGGUGAGUGGAAUUCCGAGUGUAGAGGUGAAAUUCGUAGAUAUUCGGAGGAACACCAGUGGCGAAGGCGGCUCACUGGCUCGAUACUGACGCUGAGGUGCGAAAGCGUGGGGAGCAAACAGGAUUAGAAACCUAGUAGUCCCAUG
rnacentral:rRNA from 1 species